rnacentral:rRNA from 1 species
UGGGGAAUAUUGCACAAUGGGCGCAAGCCUGAUGCAGCCAUGCCGCGUGUAUGAAGAAGGCCUUCGGGUUGUAAAGUACUUUCAGCGGGGAGGAAGGCGAUAAGGUUAAUAACCUUGUCGAUUGACGUUACCCGCAGAAGAAGCACCGGCUAACUCCGUGCCAGCAGCCGCGGUAAUACGGAGGGUGCAAGCGUUAAUCGGAAUUACUGGGCGUAAAGCGCACGCAGGCGGUCUGUCAAGGCGGAUGUGAAAUCCCCGGGCUCAACCUGGGAACUGCAUUCGAAACUGGCAGGCUAGAGUCUUGUAGAGGGGGGUAGAAUUCCAGGUGUAGCGGUGAAAUGCGUAGAGAUCUGGAGGAAUACCAGUGGCGAAGGCGGCCCCCUGGACAAAGACUGACGCUCAGGUGCGAAAGCGUGGGGAGCAAACA